AUUGAACGCUGGCGGCAUGCCUUACACAUGCAAGUCGAACGGUAACAGGUCUUCGGACGCUGACGAGUGGCGAACGGGUGAGUAAUACAUCGGAACGUGCCCAGUCGUGGGGGAUAACUACUCGAAAGAGUAGCUAAUACCGCAUACGAUCUGAGGAUGAAAGCGGGGGACCUUUGGGCCUCGCGCGAUUGGAGCGGCCGAUGGCAGAUUAGGUAGUUGGUGGGAUAAAAGCUUACCAAGCCGACGAUCUGUAGCUGGUCUGAGAGGACGACCAGCCACACUGGGACUGAGACACGGCCCAGACUCCUACGGGGGGCAGCAGUGGGGAAUUUUGGACAAUGGGCGAAAGCCUGAUCCAGCAAUGCCGCGUGCAGGAUGAAGGCCUUCGGGUUGUAAACUGCUUUUGUACGGAACGAAAAAGCUCCUUCUAAUACGGGGGGCCCAUGACGGUACCGUAAGAAUAAGCACCGGCUAACUACGUGCCAGCCGCCGCCGUAA
rnacentral:rRNA from 1 species